rnacentral:rRNA from 1 species
GACGAACGCUGGCGGCGUGCUUAAUACAUGCAAGUCGAACGAGUGGCGAAAGGGUGAGUAAUGCUUGGGAAUCUGUCUUAUGGAGGGGGAUAACGACGGGAAACUGUCGCUAAUACAGCGUACCAUAGGAUUUGCGACAGUGGGAUUAGGUAGUGGGUGGGGUAAUUGCCUACCAAGCUGACGAUCACUAGAUGGUCUGAGAGGAUGACCAGCCACACCGGGACGGAGAGACGGCCCGGACUCCUACGGGAGGCAGCAGUGGGGAAUAUUGCGCAAUGGAGGAAAGCCUGACGGAGCCACGCCGCGUGAAUGAAGAAGGCCUUCGGAUUGUAAAGUUCUUUCGGUAUUGAAGCGUUAAAUACAGAAGAAGCAACGGCUAACUCCGUGCCAGCAGCCGCGGUAAUAC